GGGAAACCGGUGGAAACCCGGUGCUGUGCCGCAACGGUAGGUCCGCGUAGCGCGGACGAGCCCGAACACC
rnacentral:ncRNA from 2 species